rnacentral:ncRNA from 1 species
GAUGAGUAAGGCAAUGAAGUCUGCCUGAACCUCCUGGAAUUUCCAGGAUGAUGACUUCUAUUGUAUA